AAUUCGAUUGAGUUUGAUCAUGGCUCAGGAUAAACGCUGGCGGCGUGCCUAAUGCAUGCAAGUCGAACGGUCUAGCUCGCAAGAGUUAGGUAGUGGCAAACGGGUGAGUAACACAUGGGAAUCUGCCCAGUAGUGGGGAACAACUCUCUGAAAGGAGAGCUAAUACCGCAUACGGUCUGUGAAGACUAAAGCCUUCGGGCGCUAUUGGAGGAGCCUGCGGCUGAUUAGCUAGUUGGUGGGGUAAAAGCCUACCAAGGCGGUGAUCAGUAGCUGGUCUGAGAGGAUGGACAGCCACACUGGGACUGAGAUACGGCCCAGACUCCUACGGGAGGCAGCAGCAAGGAAUUUUCGGCAAUGGAGGAAACUCUGACCGAGCAACGCCGCGUGGGCGAAGAAGUUUUUCGGAAUGUAAAGCCCUUUUCCCUGUGAAGAAAGAAAGACGGUAACAGGGGAAUAAGCAUCGGCUAACUACGUGCCAGCAGCCGCGGUAAUACGUAGGAUGCAAGCGUUGUCCGGAAUUACUGGGCGUAAAGAGCGAGUAGGCGGAAUGCCAAGUCAGAUGUGAAAGCCCCCGGCUUAACCGGGGAGGGUCAUUUGAAACUGGCAAACUAGAGUGCAGCAGAGGCUAGCGGAAUUCCCGGUGUAGUGGUGAAAUGCGUAGAUAUCGGGAGGAACACCAGUG
rnacentral:rRNA from 1 species